CCAAUAGCGUAUAUUAAAGUUGUUGCAGUUAAAAAGCUCGUAGUUGAAUUUCGGGAUUGACGUGAUGGUCGUGCCUUAAGGGGUAUGAACUGUUGCUGUUGAUUUCUCACCUUCUGGAGAAACUUGAUGUCCUUAAUUGGGUGUCUUGCGGAUCCAGGACCUUUACCUUGAAAAAAUUAGAGUGUUUAAAGCAGGCAUUUUGCUCGAAUACAUUAGCAUGGAAUAAUAGAAUAGGACGGCAUGGUUCUAUUUUGUUGGUUUCUAGGAUCACCGUAAUGAUU
rnacentral:rRNA from 1 species